rnacentral:rRNA from 1 species
GAGGUUAAGCGACUAAGCGUACACGGUGGAUGCCCUGGCAGUCAGAGGCGAUGAAGGACGUGCUAAUCUGCGAUAAGCGUCGGUAAGGUGAUAUGAACCGUUAUAACCGGCGAUUUCCGAAUGGGGAAACCCAGUGUGAUUCGUCACACUAUCAUUACGUGAAUACAUAGCGUAAUGAAGCGAACCGGGGGAACUGAAACAUCUAAGUACCCCGAGGAAAAGAAAUCAACCGAGAUUCCCCCAGUAGCGGCGAGCGAACGGGGAGCAGCCCAGAGUCUGAAUCAGCAUGUGUGGUAGUGGAACGGUCUGGAAAGUCCGGCGAUACAGGGUGAUAGCCCCGUACACAAAAGUGCAUGUGUUGUGAACUCGAAGAGUAGGGCGGGACACGUGGUAUCCUGUCUGAAUAUGGGGGGACCAUCCUCCAAGGCUAAAUACUCCUGACUGACCGAUAGUGAACCAGUACCGUGAGGGAAAGGCGAAAAGAACCCCGGCGAGGGGAGUGAAAAAGAACCUGAAACCGUGUACGUACAAGCAGUGGGAGCCUCUUUAUGGGGUGACUGCGUACCUUUUGUAUAAUGGGUCAGCGACUUAUAUUCUGUAGCAAGGUUAACCGAAUAGGGGAGCCGAAGGGAAACCGAGUCUUAACUGGGCGUUAAGUUGCAGGGUAUAGACCCGAAACCCGGUGAUCUAGCCAUGGGCAGGUUGAAGGUUGGGUAACACUAACUGGAGGACCGAACCGACUAAUGUUGAAAAAUUAGCGGAUGACUUGUGGCUGGGGGUGAAAGGCCAAUCAAACCGGGAGAUAGCUGGUUCUCCCCGAAAGCUAUUUAGGUAGCGCCUCGUGAAUUCAUCUUCGGGGGUAGAGCACUGUUUCGGCUAGGGGGUCAUCCCGACUUACCAACCCGAUGCAAACUGCGAAUACCGAAGAAUGUUAUCACGGGAGACACACGGCGGGUGCUAACGUCCGUCGUGAAGAGGGAAACAACCCAGACCGCCAGCUAAGGUCCCAAAGUCAUGGUUAAGUGGGAAACGAUGUGGGAAGGCACAGACAGCCAGGAUGUUGGCUUAGAAGCAGCCAUCAUUUAAAGAAAGCGUAAUAGCUCACUGGUCGAGUCGGCCUGCGCGGAAGAUGUAACGGGGCUAAACCAUGCACCGAAGCUGCGGCAGCGACACUAUGUGUUGUUGGGUAGGGGAGCGUUCUGUAAGCCGUUGAAGGUGGCCUGUGAGGGUUGCUGGAGGUAUCAGAAGUGCGAAUGCUGACAUAAGUAACGAUAAUGCGGGUGAAAAACCCGCACGCCGGAAGACCAAGGGUUCCUGUCCAACGUUAAUCGGGGCAGGGUGAGUCGACCCCUAAGGCGAGGCCGAAAGGCGUAGUCGAUGGGAAACAGGUUAAUAUUCCUGUACUUGGUGUUACUGCGAAGGGGGGACGGAGAAGGCUAUGUUAGCCGGGCGACGGUUGUCCCGGUUUAAGCAUGUAGGCGGAGAUUCCAGGUAAAUCCGGAGUCUUGCUAACGCUGAGGUGUGAUGACGAGGCACUACGGUGCUGAAGUAACAAAUGCCCUGCUUCCAGGAAAAGCCUCUAAGCAUCAGGUAACACAAAAUCGUACCCCAAACCGACACAGGUGGUCAGGUAGAGAAUACCAAGGCGCUUGAGAGAACUCGGGUGAAGGAACUAGGCAAAAUGGUGCCGUAACUUCGGGAGAAGGCACGCUGAUAUGUAGGUGAAGUGAUUUACUCAUGGAGCUGAAAUCAGUCGAAGAUACCAGCUGGCUGCAACUGUUUAUUAAAAACACAGCACUGUGCAAACACGAAAGUGGACGUAUACGGUGUGACGCCUGCCCGGUGCCGGAAGGUUAAUUGAUGGGGUUAUCCGUAAGGAGAAGCUCUUGAUCGAAGCCCCGGUAAACGGCGGCCGUAACUAUAACGGUCCUAAGGUAGCGAAAUUCCUUGUCGGGUAAGUUCCGACCUGCACGAAUGGCGUAAUGAUGGCCAGGCUGUCUCCACCCGAGACUCAGUGAAAUUGAACUCGCUGUGAAGAUGCAGUGUACCGCGGCAAGA